rnacentral:rRNA from 1 species
GAGUUUGAUCAUCGCUCAGAUUGAACGCUGGCGGUAUGCUUAACACAUGCAAGUCGAACGGAAACGAUGGUAGCUUGCUACCAGGCGUCAAGUGGCGGACGGGUGAGUAACGCGUAGGAAUCUGCCCAGUAGUGGGGGACAACCAGGGGAAACCCUGGCUAAUACCGCAUAAUCUCUACGGAGAAAAGGAGGCCUCUUCUUGAAAGCUUUCGCUAUUGGAUGAGCCUGCGUGAGAUUAGCUAGUUGGUAGGGUAAAGGCCUACCAAGGCGACGAUCUCUAGCUGGUCUGAGAGGACGAUCAGCCACACUGGGACUGAGACACGGCCCAGACUCCUACGGGAGGCAGCAGUGGGGAAUAUUGGACAAUGGGCGCAAGCCUGAUCCAGCAAUACCGCGUGUGUGAAGAAGGCCUUAGGGUUGUAAAGCACUUUCAGCAGUGAAGAAAUGCUUAAGGCUAAUAACCUUGAGUCUUGACGUUACCAACAGAAUAAGCACCGGCAAACUCCGUGCCAGCAGCCGCGGUAAUACGGAGGGUGCAAGCGUUAAUCGGAAUUACUGGGCGUAAAGGGUUCGCAGGUGGUUAGAUAAGUCGGAUGUGAAAUCCCUGGGCUCAACCUAGGAACUGCAUUCGAUACUGUUUAGCUAGAGUAUAAGAGAGGAUAGUGGAAUUCCGCAUGUAGCGGUGAAAUGCGUAGAUAUGCGGAGGAACAUCGGUGGCGAAGGCGGCUAUCUGGCUUAAUACUGACACUGAGGAACGAAAGCGUGGGUAGCAAACAGGAUUAGAUACCCUGGUAGUCCACGCCGUAAACGAUGUCAACUAGCCGUUGGGAGGUAUAACCUUUUAGUGGCGCAGCUAACGCGAUAAGUUGACCGCCUGGGGAGUACGGCCGCAAGGCUAAAACUCAAAUGAAUUGACGGGGGCCCGCACAAGCGGUGGAGCAUGUGGUUUAAUUCGAUGCAACGCGAAGAACCUUACCAGGUCUUGACAUCCUGCGAACUUACUAGAGAUAGUUUGGUGCCUUCGGGAGCGCAGUGACAGGUGCUGCAUGGCUGUCGUCAGCUCGUGUUGUGAAAUGUUGGGUUAAGUCCCGUAACGAGCGCAACCCCUGUCCUUAGUUGCCAGCACGUAAUGGUGGGAACUCUAAGGAGACUGCCGGUGAUAAACCGGAGGAAGGUGGGGAUGACGUCAAGUCAUCAUGGCCCUUAUGACCAGGGCUACACACGUGCUACAAUGGGCAGUACAAAGGGUCGCAACCCCGCGAGGGUGAGCAAAUCCCACAAAGCUGUUCGUAGUCCGGAUUGGAGUCUGCAACUCGACUCCAUGAAGUCGGAAUCGCUAGUAAUCGUGGAUCAGAAUGCCGCGGUGAAUACGUUCCCGGGCCUUGUACACACCGCCCGUCACACCAUGGGAGUGGAUUGCACCAGAAGUAGUUAGUCUAACCUUCGGGAGGACGAUUACCACGGUGUGGUUCAUGACUGGGGUGAAGUCGUAACAAGGUAACC